rnacentral:rRNA from 1 species
GACGAACGCUGGCGGCGUGCUUAACACAUGCAAGUCGAACGGAAAGGCCUGCUUUCCCUUGUGGAUUGCGGGUACUCGAGUGGCGAACGGGUGAGUAACACGUGAGUGAUCUGCCCCCAACUUGGGUAUAAGCCUGGGAAACUGGGUCUAAUUCCCGAUAGGACUGCAGGGUGGUGCCUGUGGUGGAAAACGAUUUUCUAGUGGUUGGGGAUGAGCUCGCGGCCUAUCAGCUUGUUGGUGGGGUAAUGGCCUACCAAGGCGGCGACGGGUAGCCGGCCUGGGAGGGUGGACGGCCACAUUGGGACUGAGAUACGGCCCAGACUCCUACGGGAGGCAGCAGUGGGGAAUAUUGCACAAUGGGCGGAAGCCUGAUGCAGCGACGCCGCGUGGGGGAUGACGGCCUUCGGGUUGUAAACUCCUUUCGACCGCGAUGAAGCCACCUGGUUGGAAGGGUGGUGACGGUAGUGGUAGAAGAAGCACCGGCUAACUACGUG